AUUGAACGCUGGCGGCAUGCCUUACACAUGCAAGUCGAACGGUAACAGGUCUUCGGAUGCUGACGAGUGGCGAACGGGUGAGUAAUACAUCGGAACGUGCCUAGUAGUGGGGGAUAACUACUCGAAAGAGUGGCUAAUACCGCAUGAGAUCUACGGAUGAAAGCAGGGGAUCGCAAGACCUUGUGCUACUAGAGCGGCCGAUGGCGGAUUAGGUAGUUGGUGGGAUAAAAGCUUACCAAGCCGACGAUCUGUAGCUGGUCUGAGAGGACGAUCAGCCACAGUGGGACUGGGACACGGCCCAGACUCCUACGGGAGGCAGCAGUGGGGAAUUUUGGACAAUGGGCGCAAGCCUGAUCCAGCAAUGCCGCGUGCAGGAUGAAGGCCUUCGGGUUGUAAACUGCUUUUGUACGGAACGAAAAGCCCCGGGUUAAUACCCUGGGGUCAUGACGGUACCGUAAGAAUAAGCACCGGCUAACUACGUGCCAGCCGCCGCAGUAA
rnacentral:rRNA from 1 species